UCUGUACUUGUAUGUACUAUUAUAUAUUCUUUGGUAGUACCUACUUAGAGUACCUAAGUGUUCUGUGCGUACUUCGUAGUACUACUAGUACUUAACUGACCAAAUAUUCAAACAUAUUUUUUUUAUUUUUCAACUGAUUAUUUUAAAUACCCGAUUGGGCCAGUAAACUUCCCAUAGGACUCCAUUUAGAAAUACUAAAAGAAAACAAAGUUGUUCAAAAAUUAUUGAUAGAUGAGAAGAAGCGCUACCAAUCUGGUAGGAUAGUAGGAACAAAUGACAUCAGUAUUGACAUGAACAAUAGCUGCUCCAGGGUACAUGCAGCUAUUGUUUAUCAUAAACACUUGAAGAGAUCCUUCCUGAUAGAUCUGGAAAGCACUACCAACCAUUGCAGUUUAUAGUUUUUAGCCGACAGGCGGACAGACGAUAUGGAGCUAUUAAAAUUGCCAUUUUAGCUGAAUCUUAAAAUGGUUUAAUUUCACCACUUUUUCAGCGUGUUUGAUAUAUUGCCAAAGAUAUAGAGUACUUCCGGAACAAUUGCAAAUUUAAAAACAAAACCAUGUUUUAAUAAUUAAUAAUAUUAUUAAUAUUACUCAGCCAAAGACGGGCGUAAAACGUCAAAUACAGCGCUACGUUUCCUUCAGCGAAGAAGGUGGAUAUCGUGAACCCCGAGGAAACUGAUCCAUCAAUGGGCCUGAUUUGGAACAUGAUGAGGUCUACCAUCGAGCCGACGGCAAUUGUAUUGACGAAACAGAGGCGCCAGAGCACAGGUAAUACUCGACACUAUGAAAGAUUGCUGGACACGUCGACGAGUACUGGUUUGUUCUCUGGUAUGCCAGAUCCGAUUACCCCACAAUGGGACUAUAUCGGCGCGACGUACAUCAUCUGUUUUCUAUUGACUUAACUAUACUUUUUUGUUAAUUUUUUUCGUCCUUCUACGUCAUGCAAAAUCGUUUAAAACUUUUAUUGAUUAGAAUUAUUUUUAU